rnacentral:rRNA from 1 species
ACGAACGCUGGCGGCGUGCUUAACACAUGCAAGUCGAACGGAAAGGCCCUGCUUUUGUGGGGUGCUCGAGUGGCGAACGGGUGAGUAACACGUGAGUAACCUGCCCUUGACUUUGGGAUAACUUCAGGAAACUGGGGCUAAUACCGGAUAGGAGCUCCUGCUGCAUGGUGGGGGUUGGAAAGUUUCGGCGGUUGGGGAUGGACUCGCGGCUUAUCAGCUUGUUGGUGGGGUAGUGGCUUACCAAGGCUGUGACGGGUAGCCGGCCUGAGAAGGUGACCGGCCACAUUGGGACUGAGGUACGGCCCAGACUCCUACGGGAGGCAGCAGUGAGGAAUGUUGCACAAUAAGCGGAAGCCGGGUGCAGCAACGCCGCGUGCGGGAUGACGGCCUUCGGGUUGUGAACCGCUUUCGCCUGUGACUAAGCGUGAGUGACGGUAAUGUGUAAAAAAGCACCGGCUAACUACGUG